GCGUUGUCCGGGAUUAUUGGGCGAAAAGAGCUCGUAGGCGGUCUGUCACGUCGGAUGUGAAAGCUUGGGGCUCAACCCCAAGCCUGCAGUCGAUACGGGCAGACUAGAGUGCGGUAGGGGAGACUGGAAUUCCUGGUGUAGCGGUGAAAUGCGCAGAUAUCAGGAGGAACACCGGUGGCGAAGGCGGGUCUCUGGGCCGUAACUGACGCUGAGGAGCGAAAGCGUG
rnacentral:rRNA from 1 species